rnacentral:rRNA from 1 species
AUUGAACGCUGGCGGCAUGCCUUACACAUGCAAGUCGAACGGCAGCACGGGUGCUUGCACCUGGUGGCGAGUGGCGAACGGGUGAGUAAUACAUCGGGACAUGUCCUGUAGUGGGGGAUAGCCCGGCGAAAGCCGGAUUAAUACCGCAUACGAUCUACGUAUGAAAGCGGGGGACCUUCGGGCCUCGCGCUUUAGGGUUGGCCGAUGGCUGAUUAGCUAGUUGGUGGGGUAAAGGCCUACCAAGGCGACGAUCAGUAGCUGGUCUGAGAGGACGACCAGCCACACUGGGACUGAGACACGGCCCAGACUCCUACGGGAGGCAGCAGUGGGGAAUUUUGGACAAUGGGCGAAAGCCUGAUCCAGCAAUGCCGCGUGUGUGAAGAAGGCCUUCGGGUUGUAAAGCACUUUUGUCCGGAAAGAAAUAAUUGGCCCUAAUACGGUCGGGGGAUGACGGUACCGGAAGAAUAAGCACCGGCUAACUACGUG